rnacentral:rRNA from 1 species
UACGUAGGGUGGAAGCGUUGUCCGGAAUUAUUGGGCGUAAAGAGCGCGUAGGCGGUUUGUCGCGUCUGCUGUGAAAACUCGGGGCUUAACCCCGGGCCUGCAGUGGGUACGGGCAGACUAGAGUGCGGUAGGGGAGACUGGAAUUCCUGGUGUAGCGGUGAAAUGCGCAGAUAUCAGGAGGACCACCGUUGGCGAACGCGGGUCUCUGGGCCGUGCCUGACGCUGAGGAGCUUCAUCUUGGGGAGCGAACAGG